AUUUGUGUUGCCUCGGCUGUAAUGUCUGAUUAUAUUUGAUUCAGUCGAGGCAGUGCGAUACAAUUUUUAAUGAGUAGUAUUAAAAUAAAUGAAAUAGAAUAUUGUUUGUUUUGAGGUUUUCCGGCGUCUUAAAAUUCUGAAUGAAUCUUUGCGGGCCGGCGUUCAACACACACAGACACACACAGAGAGGCGUCCGACGGCGCCGCCGUUUCUUCUCUCUUUCUCUUUCCGAGCGGCCGCUAUCUAUCGGUCGCGGCCAACUCCAUACGUUGGUAUCGUCUGGGGUCGGGUGCCCUGGCGCCUAUAUGGCGCCAUGUGGCACGGCCGCUGGGCGCCCCCCCUUUCCGCGCGUUACACGGCGCAGACGAAGGGGGCCCGAUACGGUAUCGCGAGCACGACGAGGAUGGAAAGAUUGCCUCGCCGCACGUCACGCUGUUAGUUAAAAGUUUAGCCUCACUCCGCGUUUCAGUCGAGAACCGACCGUCGCGACUCGUCGACGUGCGCCAUCCCAGUUAAACGCGCAACAUUUUUUUUUGAAUCAUUUACGGUUAUGAAUAUUAUUUUGUUGAAAAGUGUUCGAGAUAGAAAAAUAUAUUGUGAUAUGUUUUACUUUUUAUCGAAUACUAAAAGGGAGAAUCGAAUUUUUAUUUGAAACUAGGCUUUAGAAAUAAUUCGUUAAAAAUCGUAUUUUUAAAAAACAUUCGCUUAUUGGGGGGAAACGGGGGUGUGUUCAGGUUAAAAGUGCUUCCGCUAGACGUAACCAAAUGUACCUUUCCAAGGAGAAGUGCCGUACACAGCGGAUACAUGUUCAAGUUCCGCAGGAAGACCGCGCUGGUUAAGAAAUUGCUCAAGGAGGCGUCCCGACCGGCUAAUGGACCUUCUGACGAGGGCCUAUGUUACCAGAAGCUGGCAGCCCUCCUCAGGAAACUCAACGCGAACCAGCUCGAGAUGUUGCACCAGGUCGUCACGACCAAAGGAAAGGGCAAUUUCGGUUGCGUCCUCGUUGAAAAUGACGGUAUCGUCGAAGAUCCUCAUUUACUCUGUUGCAAGAGUUGGAGAUGGAGCGAUGAUUGGAGAAGGGACGAAAUCAGAAGGUUGCCGGUUUGCGGUUCCGCGAGAGACAAAGUGUAUGUUUGUAUUAAUCCUUAUCAUCUCAGCAAAUUAUGUAUACCAGAUUCUAUUCCGCCACCUUAUUCGUGUUUGGACCACAUAAACCCAGAAGAUCGGGCCCAAAUCGAUUCAAGAUUAGUUUUCAGGGACAGUUACGCCGAAUCGUUGACUACGAACGGUGAAAGGGAAAAUGAGUUGGAAAUGAAAAGAGAAAAUGAAUGGAAAAGAAAAAUGGUGAGGAAUUGUUAUACGGGCGCAUUGAAAAGAGACGGAGAGUCGACCGGCUUGUUUAAAAAUAGCCAUUACAAGUUCACCGCUGGCGCCAGGAUUAUGGUAUCGGCGAUGUUACGUCACUCGCACGACGACCGCCCGUUACCCGCAGCACACGCCGCUACCGCCGUCGCCGCCUGCGAAGCUGAAUUUUCGCGAGAACGUUGCCGGCGCCUAUUUAGAAAACGGCACCGAAUAAUAUUAAUUUAUGAAAAAUUAUACCCUUCAUUGGAACCAACGAAUGAGACAAAAAUAUCCUAAAUUCAAAGUCAACAUAGAUACAUAUACAAUGUUAGACGCAAUGAAACAUCUAAAAUUAUCACUUUCGAUAUCAAUCAAGUCAUCUUCAGGACUCGAAUUUUUUGUAUAUCUGGUUGUUAGCAAGAGAAUUUGGAAGAAUAUUAAAGAUAUUAUAGCAUAAACAAAGGAAUGAUAAUAAUUGAAGCUAUAAGAAAGUUUUAUUCCUAAAUUUUGAUUGGUCAAAAUUGCUCUCAGAGUGUCUCUAACUCCAAUUAUGAAGAUGAUGAUAUUUGGAGGUGAUGUGGUGUUUGAAUUGACACUUUACUUCAUCUUAACUGCUAUAACAGAGGAAAGAUAAAAUGAGUUGAUGAGUAUCUUGGAUAACAGACAUCUUGUUUGAGCAAACACUUUGAAAUGCAUAUUUAUGAAGAGAUAUUUCAACUUAUAUAUAUAUAACUUGGCAUAUUAGUGGUGUUAAUGCUUAAGGAAAUCAGAUGAUGUGAUUCUUUUUCUUUCACAUACACAGCGUCCAUUAAUACCCCAUUGAAAAAUAACACAGAUAAUUUCUGAUAUAUUGAGAGUUAUUAAUGCAACUAUAUAUGUUGAUGAUAAGGUUCAUAGAAUAAAAUGGAAGCACCACAACAAGCUUCAUUCAAUCAAGAAAUGACUCCGUGCUUUUUAGAUUCAAAAUGAUAAUGGCGAAGUCGACAAAAAUGAUUGUUUACCAAUUUUUGAUCUGAUAGUUUAUUUCUUUGCAAUAUUCUUUGAAAUAAGAAUCUUUAGUACUAAUAUUUUUUAAUAGAUGUGAUUUUUUUUCUGUCUCAUACACUGCGUUCAUUAACACCCCAUUGAAAAAUAACAGACAUAAUUUCUGAUAUAUUGACAGUUAUUAAAGAUAUAUUAAUGGGAUCAACUACUUCCAUAUAUGUUGACGAUAAGGUUCAUAGAAAGAAAUAAGAUUAAAAUGGAAGCACCACAACAAGCUUCAUUCAAUCAAGACUCUGGUGCUUUUUAGAUUCAAAAUGAUGAUGGCGAAGUCGGCAAAAAUGAUUGUUUGCCAAUUUUAGAUUUUUUUAUUUUUCUUUAUAUUUUAUAUCUCUACUCUUGCAACACACUUUUAUCCUAUCAAUUUCUAUCCCAUCUUUGGCUAUGUAUGCUAAAACUAGAUGAAACUUUCAUCUAUUGUCUCUUAAAGUCCAAACAUGUUCAUUUUGGGUAGUCAUAAAUCAUAGCACAUAACCUGAGUAUGCUUGAAAGUUUUAAAAGUGUUCCCCAUAAUUCUUCUUGUACAUCACAAUUACACCAAAAAGCUCAUUCAUUGUUCAUCAUCAUUCAUCAUAUAUAAAACUCUUCUCUCACCCUAAAACCUAACUCGCAUUUAUGUUGGCUUACAAAACAAUUAACUACAAAGACUUGCAUAUCCUAAGUUAAGCUUAGAUUUUCGCAUUAUAACCGACAGUUUUGUGUUCUGGAACAACAUCAACCUCGUUAAGUAUCUAGACUACUUCUACAUCCAGCGAUUUAUUGCUCAAUCACGUAAAAAGACACCUCUCGGAGUCCAACAACAAUCGGGUCUCAAAAUUGAAAUCUCGUGAUUAUCUCUAAACUGCAGCUAAUGUUAUAAAUUUAUGCACUUGAUCACAUUAAUGGCGCACCGCUUCUGUAUGCUAAGGAAGAAAGGAAGGGAUUGGUUGCAACAUAUAUUUAUUUAUUUAUCGUAUGGCUACAUAUAAUAAUGACAGUAUGAGUACAAAGCAUAAAUUUUCCACAAAAUAGCUUGCUGUAUAUGUUCAAGUCACGGCUCACUUCGAGGUUGAUGUCAGUCACCAGAUCCGCUCUAUGUUUCUAUGUGUCAUUAUUGCAGGUUGUCUAGAUUUCUAGAUUAAAUCCUCAUGAGUGCACCGAGCAUGUUAUUCAGCAGCAAACUCAGUGUCUUAUCAAGUCUAAAAAGUCCAUAAAACGAUCAAUAUAAAUAUAUUGUCAAUAUCUGAGUAUUCACAAUAUUAUUGAACGUGUGCGUUGAACGUUGACACAUUGUCAAUAUUAAAAAUAUUGAUAGGAUGGUUUGACGAAAACGAAAAUAUUUGAUAUAUUGAUAAUAAAUAUUGACAGUCUGAGGGAGAUAUUGACAAUCCUACGUUAGUAGGAUUAUAUUAUUGAUUAUAUCAUGUAAUAAUGAAUUCAGACAAAUAUACUUUAAUGGACGAAAGUGCUAUUAACUCCCCUAAUUGUUCAUUAACACAUGCAAAUAUGACAUGGCAUCUUUGACUGCCAACGCAAAACUAAGUAGAUUCUCAAUAAAUAUUAAUAGUCUGAGGUAAUUACAGUUUGUCAAUAUUUAUUGGUCAUAUUGACAAUAUAUGUUGAUCUUUUAGAUCCACAAAGACGGCAAAUGUCUUCUCUCGGUUCUGAAAGCCAACCUCGAUACAAGUUGUAAAGCUGAGAUUCAGAUACACGCAGCUGCGUCCCCACCUAAAACCUAAUUGUUUAACCGAGAUAUACUCUGUAGAGCUGCUUAGUAGAGCAUUGGGUAGCUACCAGGCAGCUCCGCUGGUUUCCUCGGCUUCAGGAUGAAGAUAAUCUUUGUUUUCUUAAAUCCUUUUGGAAUAAUACCCAAAUUUUUAGAAUAUCA
rnacentral:misc_RNA from 1 species